rnacentral:lncRNA from 1 species
CCUUUUUUUUUUUUUUUUAGCUUCUGAGGAGUUUUUUUAAGUUAGGGAGUGACAGAAAUGCAGAUUAAAGUAAUGAAAAAUGAGGCAGUGAGACUGAUUAAGAGUUGUUGCAGUUGACAGAGAGUCUGAAGAAAGUGUAGCUGUGGGAAUGAAGAGGAGGGGAUUUUAGAAAUACUGUACUUCUGAGAUUGAUUCAGCUUCUUAGGAAGAGAGUGGGCUAGGAUUUCUAAUUUCAGAGAGUGGAUGUGUGGGGAUUUCAUUGACAAGAUAUGGAUUAGAAAAAGUAGAGCAAGUUUUUAAAGGUUAGGGUAUGGAAAGAGGCAUAGGGGAUAUGGUGUGGUAUGCCGAGCUCAGGUUGCUUGUAGGAUGUACAGAUGGAGACCUUAGUAGGCAGCUGUAAGUGAGAGACCUGGUGAGCUUAAUAUAUUGGCACCAGCUCUGAGUGAGGGCAUAUAUGAAAAAAGUCUUGGGGAAAAAAUAAUGUUUUUUUUUUUGUCUAUAGGAAGUAGCAGAUUAUGCACUUCCUCCACUUAAUAAUGAGCUUCUCAAGGCAGGGACUGUAACUUAGUAAUUUUUUGGUCCCUUUCUGUCUUACACUAUGCUUGUGUUAUUUAUAAGAUCUGAAUAAGUGUUAUUAAAGUAGCAGGAAAUCAGUUUACUUUGUAAGAUUGCAGGUACCUUUUGGGCUUCCUUUAAGAAGAUUAUGGGGUCAGGUGAGGUGGCUCACGCCUGUAAUCCCAGCACUUUGGGAGGCUGAGACUGGUGGAUUGCUUGAGCUCAAGAGUUCAAGACCAGCCUGGGCAAGAUAGCAAAACCCUGUCUCUACAAAAAAUACAAAAGUUAGCUGGGUGUGGUAGUGUGAGCCUGUAGUCCCAGCUACUCAGGAGGCUGAGGUGGGAGGGUGGUGUGAGCCCAGGAGGUUGAGGCUGCAGUGAGCUGUGAUUGUGCUACUGCAUUCCAGCUUGGGCAAGGAGGGAAACUGCCUUUUGAUUGGGUGGGGGCGGGGGCUGGGGAGAAGAUGAUUUUGGGACUUUAUCUUAUAAUUUUCAUUUUAAUUGAGAUUGUGUUCAUGAGGCUUAUAUAAUUGAACAGGAGAAGAAAUGAGAAGAUAUGAGUCACGGUGUGCUGUGUGAGGAAGUUCAGGGCUGGAGCAGGAGACAGACAGUAUUAAUUUAUAGGAAUCUCCUGCUCAUUGACAAGAUCUUACCAUGAAUUUUCAUUCUGGGAUGUGUCAGAAAAUGUGGUUUCCAAUCGGAAUUUCCUGAAAUCCUGUCAAUCUGGAACUGGUUCCCCCUUUGGAAGGAGGAAUGCAUUCCUUCUUGUGUAGGAUAACUUGAAAGGGAACCUAAAGUCAUGUUUAUUUAAAUGAAUGAGAACUCAUCUUCAUUGUCCAUUUGUAACAUUAGGCAAACUCAGUAGAUGUUGCUGGGACCAGAUUGAAUUGUCUUCUGUGAAGCUAGUUGACCUGUAGUAGGUACAGACUGUGGCUGAUACCUGGAAAAGUCUUGGUUUUGCCACUUGCCUCUUAGUCUUGGGAAAGUCUCUGAGUUACUUCCACUUUCAGGUAUAGGCUGAACACCCAUUCUGAGGGGAACAUUGUCUAGAGCACACAAGCUACGGACCCUGCCUUGUAGUGGUUCGUGUGCUUCCUUAAUCAGUCUGGUUCUGUCCUAGCUUCUAGAAAAUAGGGAUGAUGCUUGUCAGGUGAUGUCCUGAGUUGACUGACUUUUCUUUCUUUUUUUCUUUUUUCUUUUUUUUUUUUGAGAUAGAGUCUCCCAGCCGGACACGGUGGCUCAAGCCUGUAAUCCCAGCACUUUGGAAGGCCGAGACGGGCAGAUCACGAGGUCAGGAGAUCGAGACCAUCCUGGCUAACACGGUGAAACCCCGUCUCUACUAAAAUACAAAAAAAAUUAGCCGGGCGAGGUGGCGGGCGCCUCCUCCUGAGUAGCUGGGAUUACAGGCCCCCUCCACCACACCUAGCUACUUUUUGUAUUUUUAGUAGAGAUGGUGUUUCACCAUGUUGGCCAGGCUGGUCUCGAACUCUUGACCUCAGAUGGUCCCUCCACCUCGGCCUCCCAAAGUGCUGAUAUUACAGGCAUGAGCCACCGCGCCUGGCUGACUUUUCUUUCUUUGUUUUUUUUUUUGAGACAGAGUCUUGCUCUGUCGCCCAAGCUGGAGCUGGAGUGCAGUGGUACGAUCUCAGCUCACUGCAACCUCUUCCUCCCAGGUUCAAGCAAUUCUCGUGCCUCAGCUUUCUGACUGGCUGGGACUACAGGCAUGUGCCACCAGGCCGGCUAAUUUUUGUAUAUUUAGUAGAGAUGGGGUUUUACCCUGUUGGCCAGGCUGGUCUUGAACUCCUGACCUCAAGUGAUCCACCUGCCUUGGCCUCCCAAAGUGUUGGGAUUACAGACAUGAGCCACCAUGUUUGGUGAGUUGAUUGACUUUUCUUGGAUAAAAUGGGAGUGUUGAUAUUAUGGAUAUCAGUUUGGAGUUUCCAUAGAAGUGUUACUUUAACUGAAUCUUUUUUUUUAUUUUUUGAGACUGAGUCUUGCUCUAUCGCCCAGGCUGGAGUACAGUGGCGCCAUCUCAGCUCACUGCAACCACUGCCUUCCAGGUUCAAGCGAUUCUCGUGCCUCAGACUCCUGAGUAGCUGGGAUUACAGUGAAUCCGGUUUUUAAUGGUCUAGUUAGCUCCUGAUGUUUUGCACUAACAGGACAUUCUGAUAGGGAGAAGCGCUACCAGAGAGAAAGAUUUAAUGGCUUUAUCACUUACUAGUUGUGUUGCUUUGAGCAAAGUAAUAUCCUCAUUGUAAAAAUAGGUUGGGGCUGGGUGCAGUGGCUCAUGCCUGUAAUUCUAGCACUUUGGGGGGCCUAGGUGGGAGGAUUGCUUGAGCCCAGGAGUUCGAGACCAACCCGAGCAACAUGGUGAAACUCAAUCUUUACAAAAAAUAUGAAAAGUUAGCCAGGCCUGGUGCCAUAUGCCUGUAGUCCCAGCUACCCAGGAGGCUGAGGUCAGAGGAUCACUGAGGCUACAGUGAGCCAUGAUUGUGCCACUGCACUUCAGCCUUGGUGAUAGAGACCCUAUCUCAAAAAAAAAAAAAAAAAAAAAAAAAAAAAAAAAAAAAAAAAA